rnacentral:rRNA from 1 species
UACAGAGGUGGCAAGCGUUGCUCGGUAUCACUGGGCUUAAAGGGCGCGUAGGCGGUGCGGUACGGUUUCGGUGAAAUCCCUCGGCCCAACCGGAAAAGUGCCUCUGAUACUGGUCGUCUUGAGGGAGGUAGGGGUCGAGGGAACUGGUGGUGGAGCGGUGAAAUGCGUAGAUAUCACUAGGAACGCCGGUGGCGAAAGCGCUCGACUGGACCUCUUCUGACGCUGAGGCGCGAAAGCCAGGGGAGCAAACGGG